rnacentral:rRNA from 1 species
UACAGAGGGUGCAAGCGUUGUUCGGAAUUAUUGGGCGUAAAGCGCGUGUAGGCGGCUUGUUAAGUCGGGUGUGAAAUCCCUCAGCUACAACCGUGAGGAAGCUGCGCCCGAAACUGGACGAGCGUUGAGUGCCGGAGAGGAUGGCGGAAUACCCCAAGUAGAGGUGAAAUUCGUAGAUAUGGGGUGGAACACCGGUGGCGAAGGCGGCCAUCUGGACGGUAACUGACGCUGAGACGCGAAAGCGUGGGUAGCAAACGAGG